rnacentral:piRNA from 1 species
UUGGAGAGGUCCUGUUGGGUGCUAAG